rnacentral:lncRNA from 10 species
CGUCCCUUCUGGUCGACUGCUGCCACAACAUGAGAGAAAUGCCCAGCUUAGGACUGCUUCCAGUGACUGAGGUUGCAGUUCCAACCACGCACAUGAGCUGCCCCAAAGGAGCUACUCACCUGAGUGACAGCACAGCAGUGCUGUCGGGGAUUUCAAGUGUCCUUCUUUCCAUCUGCCCUCUCCUUUAACUCUUGCCUCUCAAGACUAAAAACUGUACCAAGAUUCUCCAAGAAUCUUCUCUAUUAAUUCCUGGCAAGUUGGAGGUGUAAAUGAGACCCUGGUUAAAGUUACCCCUCUAAUAGCUCUCUGUUAUAUGUGGAGAAAAUGUUUAAUGUUUUGACAUCAAACAUCUAGUGAUGAUAUAAAAAUUUCCUUUUGAAUAUAUGUGGAGUUUAAUGGUGGUGGGUUAGGGAGACAUCUAAUUAGGUGCUUCUCUUAUGUUUUCAUUCUACAAUAUAGUUUUUAAUUGAAAAGUUUCCUCCUAUACCUAUUAUGGAAGCCCAAUAAUUUUCAAAGCAUAAUCUCAAAUGGGAACACAAAUUUAAAUACUCACAAUUUAAAUUUUGUGAAAGGAAAAAAAAUAAAAUUAAAAUUAAAAAAUGGUCCUUUAUGUCAGGCCUCUGAGCCCAAGCCUGCACAUAUGCAUCCAGAUGGCCUGGAGCAACUGAGGAAUGACAGGAGAGGUGAAAAUAGCCAGUUCCUGCCUCGACUGAUGACAUUCCACCAUUGUGAUUUGUUCCUGCCCCACCCUAACUGAUCAACUGAUCCUGUGACAUUCCUUCUCCCGGACAAUGAGUAUCAGAAGCUCCCCACCUAGCACCUUGUAACCCCAGCCCCUGCCCACAAGAGGAAAACCCCUUUGACUGUAAUUUUCCACUACCUACCCAAAUCCUAUAAAACUGCCCCACCCUUAUCUCCCUUUGUUUUUGACUCCUUUUUCGGACUCAGCACGCCUGCACCCAGGUGAUUAAAAAGCUUUAUUGCUCACACAAAGCCUGUUUGGUUGUUUCUUCACACAGAUGCGUGUGACACUUUAGAGACUUUCUCUAAUUUCUACUGAUAAUGCAUGGUGAUCUCUUUUUUGAAAACCAGUUUGUGGGUUAAUAGUUUGACUAUAUGGAGGACUGUGAGAAAUAAAGAGAAAAUGUAUUUUCUUGUGAUUCAGUAUUGCUGGUAGCUAUUUUAACAGUUCAUAUUUGUAUUUUGUGUUUCUUUAAUUUAUUGGUGUGACAAAUAACUCAUUUAUACUCAUUUAUAUUGAUUUUAAUAUACCAUGAAUAAAGUAUUUA